UGAACGCUGGCGGCGUGCCUAACACAUGCAAGUCGAGCGGUAACAGGUGUAGCAAUACAUGCUGACGAGCGGCGGACGGGUGAGUAACGCUUGGGAAUCUGCCUAUUAGUGGGGGACAACCCGGGGAAACUCGGGCUAAUACCGCAUACGCUCUACGGAGGAAAGCCGGGGACCGCAAGGCCUGGCGCUAAUAGAUGAGCCCAAGUCGGAUUAGCUAGUUGGUAGGUAAUGGCCUACCAAGGCGACGAUCCGUAACUGGUCUGAGAGGACGACCAGUCACACCGGAACUGAGACACGGUCCGGACUCCUACGGGAGGCAGCAGUGGGGAAUAUUGGACAAUGGGCGAAAGCCUGAUCCAGCGACGCCGCGUGGGUGAAGAAGGCCUGCGGGUUGUAAAGCCC
rnacentral:rRNA from 1 species